rnacentral:rRNA from 1 species
GAGACCUCAGGUCAGGCGGGACUACCCGCUGAAUUUAAGCAUAUCAAUAAGCGGAGGAAAAGAAACUAACAAGGAUUCC